UACGAAGGGGGCUAGCGUUGCUCGGAAUUACUGGGCGUAAAGGGCGCGUAGGCGGAUAGUUUAGUCAGAGGUAAAAGCCCAGGGCUCAACCUUGGAACUGCCUUUGAUACUGGCUAUCUUGAGUUCGGGAGAGGUGAGUGGAAUGCCGAGUGUAGAGGUGAAAUUCGUAGAUAUUCGGCGGAACACCAGUGGCGAAGGCGACUCACUGGCCCGAUACUGACGCUGAGGCGCGAAAGCGUGGGGAGCAAA
rnacentral:rRNA from 1 species